AAAUGGCAUGCAAAUGCAAAUGCAAUUUCAACACAAUGCCCCUCACAAAAUGAUAGAGUGGAUAGCAUUUCUUCAAAACAAAGUCAUCCUUCUCCCAAUCCCGACUCUCUUUAUUCUCUCCUCUCCAACAUUAACCAGUUCCCAACACACUCUUUUCAUGACCCCCAUAGAAUAAUAUGAAUCAAGCACAAUCCCAACUCCAUACCCGGAUCUUCAAACCAACCAAAAGAAUCCCAGAAUGAAAUAUCAAUUUGUAAAUUGUAAUGGGUACCCUUUCAAAUGGACAAUCCCUUUUCAUAUGAGAAGCAUUGACAGAUUGACAGCAAUGAAUGUUGUUGUUGUUGUUGUUGUUGUUGCUGCCUGAAAAGGUCUUUGAUUUCUAUGCUGUGUUCUUCUGCCGGUGAGAUUUUCCUUUGUGAUUUACUUGAUUGUUACUUCAUUCUCUCUCUCUGUUGGGAUUGUUCUGUUGAUGAUCUGUUGUUUGUGUGGUGAUCAAUGAUGAUAGAUUCUUAUAAGUCUAUAACUUACAUGUUUAUGACUACAUUGGAUGGUUUAGAUAUAUCUAAUUUCGUAGUAGGUAAUCAGUUUGUGUGCUCCAUCAAAGAUGAUUGAGUAUUUGCUCUUGGUUUUAACCCAUCGGUUUUCUUUUGUUUGCAUAAAUCUUUAUUAAUUACUGGAGGUACUUGAUUUCAAGAAAGGUGUGUAAUCUUGUAGAGACCAAUGUUUGAUGCUAAAUUUAGUUUAUUUGGUCAUCGACAAUGAUCAAGAUCUUAUAUGAACUACCUUUACAGGAUAAUGUAUCUGCUUAAUUAUUAGGAAGGCUUUUGUACAAAAUAGAAAAGACCCUCUAAUACGAAAUUGAUUCAGAGACAUAUGAUAAAUAAAACUGUGAUGAAAGGGCAUAUCCUAGAUUGGUCCAGCUAGUGGUAAACAUAUUGUUCUCCGCAGGCUUUGGGGGAGUAGUUAGGACUGUAGGUUGAAGAAACUCAAUCCUUGUAUUUGAUUUUCUUUUCCUUUCUCUGCUAUGGACUAGAAGAUCCAAUGGCAUUGGAUUUAGCAACAGUUUUAUCUCAUUUUAUCCGUCUUCGUUGCCUUUUUUUGGCAUAUGGAUUGGAAGCUACAAGGCCAUGGGAUGUUUAUCUCCUUUCUCUCCUGGUCCAGUUGGUGCAACAUUCGCGUGCAUACGAUAGUUUGUUGCAUGCUAGGCCUAGAUUGUUAGUUAAUCAUCUUAUUAGGAGUUCCGAAUUAGUGGAUGCUGCCAACAGGAGUGGCGAUGCCAUACGCAAAAAGGAAGGGACUCAUAGAAUGGCAGAGGCAAAUAGUUGAUUUCAAGUUGGAAGCUCAUUUGGUCUUUAGGUAACUGUCUUUUGCAACUUCUUUUAUCUAUGGAAUCCAGUAGUGAAACAUUGCUGACGUAAAAGACGUUACUUUUACAAAGGUUAACGUUUACCUUGGAUGUUUGUUUUCACUCUAACAGAUGUUUGUCUUGAAUCAUGAUUAGUCCAUAGGCAUACUUUCAGAUCCUUUUCUCUUAUAAUUGGUUCAGUUUGCUUAUUUUCUAUUAUCUUAACUUGCUUUUGUAAGAAGUCUUAAAGUUGCAUAUCACCAUGUUUAACAUGGAUUAGGAGAUGCUUUCAUUAUGUUCUUUUCGCAUCAACAUCCAUUGUCUGAGUAUAUUUGUUUUCCUUUGUGUUUGAUAAUGUCAAACAACAUGUCCUUAAACAAUGAAAUAAAUCCACGGAUAUGCUGACUUGUAACUAGGCAGGUCAUUCAAGUGAUUGAUGGCUAUGUGAAACUUAGCCCGGUCAGGUGCAGUGGUCUUGAUUUGUUCACUCUGUCACGCUAGACAGUCCCUUAAACCUUCAGGUUAGUAGAGCGCCCCACCCGAUACCAGUGAGUGGCAAACCACUAAUAACUCCAUAGAUAUGGAUGCUUAGCUGAUGAGUCUCAUCCUUCUGACCUCCCAUGUUCCUUGUAGAAAACAAUAUCGCCCAAGUUUAACUUGAUAAUAAUCAUAGUUCAUCCUUUCCAAAUUGAUUGAUAUGAAACACAUCUUCAUGUAUUGGUAUUCUUUGAGCAGUUCUGGUGAUCUCGGGCACUGCAGUCUGCGGUUUAUCAGGGAAGCAACAGAAAAAGGACAGACAAGCCGUUGGAUAUGGAAGUCUGAAGUAAUGGCCUCCAUACGAUACAGCAAUUUUAUGACAUACAAACCCAAAGCUCUUUACUAAGGCUCCCUGGAGAUUCAACGUGUCUGCGGUCUGCCUCAUUCACCCUUAAUUGGUGUAGGAGCGCACUUCAAAGUGGAAGAUCCUGUAUAUGAAGCCCAGAUGAGCUUAAUAACUCGUGCUGCGAUUGCCAUAGUAAUCAAUUGGGCUGUAGCCUGGUUUUCAGGAGUGGUGUUUGCAGGAAUUGCUCUACGGGGAAUACGCAGGACAAAGUCGCAAGAUCAAAUAGCAGGAUCAAAUCAACAAAAUUUUACAUUUAGAUCCCAUCUGCUAUGACUAAUCUUACAAUUAAAUGCUGUGUCCCUCAUGUGGAAACUAUACUUGAAAGAAACACAAUCUCUAAUCGACUACUUGACAUACCUGAAAUACUAAAAUGAGACGUUUUUACAA